UUUCCGUAGGUGAACCUGCGGAAGGAUCAUUACUGAGUGAGGGCCCCUCGGGGUCUUACCUCCCACCCCUGCUUAACGAACCUUCCUGCUUCGUCGGGCCCGCCUCACGGCCGCCGGCGAGCAAUUUCCCACCGGCCCGCGUCCGCCCUAUCCUGCUUUGAACACUGAAAUACAUCUGCAAUCAAAGACUCUUAUUAAACUAAUUAAAACUUUCAACAAAGGAUAUCUUAGUACCGCCAUCCUUGAAGAACGCAGCAUAACGGAAGAUCACACGUCCUCUUCCACGACAGAAAUUAAAAUCCUAACCAAGGCUCCCGCGGUCGAGCCGUGAAAGUCGUCACUAAUGCUGGGGGGCCCAUCGGGCCCAACGAUCCGACCCGUGUAUAGUUAACCUGGCUUCUUCGGCGGGCCCCCCCCACGGCCGCCAGGGCGCAUGUGCCCCCGGGCAAGGGGCCGACGAAGCAACCUAUGAACGCUGUCUGAAGUAUGCAGUCUGAGACAAUUAAUAAAUUAAUUAAAACUUUCAACAACGGAUCUCUUGGUUCCG
rnacentral:misc_RNA from 1 species